GACGAACGCUGGCGGCGUGCUUAACACAUGCAAGUCGAACGGAAAGGCCCUGCUUUUGUGGGGUGCUCGAGUGGCGAACGGGUGAGUAACGCGUGAGUAACCUGCCCUUGACUUUGGGAUAACUUCAGGAAACUGGGGCUAAUACCGGAUAGGAGCUCCUGCUGCAUGGUGGGGGUUGGAAAGUUUCGGCGGUUGGGGAUGGACUCGCGGCUUAUCAGCUUGUUGGUGGGGUAGUGGCUUACCAAGGCUUUGACGGGUAGCCGGCCUGAGAGGGUGACCGGCCACAUUGGGACUGAGAUACGGCCCAGACUCCUACGGGAGGCAGCAGUGGGGAAUAUUGCACAAUGGGCUGAAGCCUAAUGCAGAAACGACGCGUGCGGGAUGACGGCCUUCGGGUUGUAAACCGCUUUCGCCUGUGACGAAGCGUGAGUGACGGUAAUGGGUAAAGAAGCACCGGCUAACUACGUG
rnacentral:rRNA from 1 species